rnacentral:rRNA from 1 species
UUGAUAGUACCUUACUACUUGGAUAACCGUGGUAAUUCUAGAGCUAAUACAUGCUGAAAACCCCGACUUCGGAAGGGGUGUAUUUAUUAGAUAAAAAACCAACGCCCUUCGGGGCUUCUUGGUGAUUCAUAAUAACUUUACGGAUCGCAUGGCCUUGCGCCGGCGACGGUUCAUUCAAAUUUCUGCCCUAUCAACUUUCGAUGGUAAGGUAUUGGCUUACCAUGGUUUCAACGGGUAACGGGGAAUUAGGGUUCGAUUCCGGAGAGGGAGCCUGAGAAACGGCUACCACAUCCAAGGAAGGCAGCAGGCGCGCAAAUUACCCAAUCCCGACACGGGGAGGUAGUGACAAUAAAUACUGAUACAGGGCUCUUUUGGGUCUUGUAAUUGGAAUGAGUACAAUUUAAACCUCUUAACGAGGAACAAUUGGAGGGCAAGUCUGGUGCCAGCAGCCGCGGUAAUUCCAGCUCCAAUAGCGUAUAUUAAAGUUGUUGCAGUUAAAAAGCUCGUAGUUGAAACUUGGGUCUGGCUGGCAGGUCCGCCUCACCGCGUGUACUUGUCCGGCCGGGCCUUCCUUCUGGAGAACCUCAUGCCCUUCACUGGGCGUGUUGGGGACCAGGACUUUUACUUUGAAAAAAUUAGAGUGUUCAAAGCAGGCCUUUGCUCGAAUACGUUAGCAUGGAAUAAUAGAAUAGGACGUGCGUUCCUAUUUUGUUGGUUUCUAGGAACGCCGUAAUGAUUAAUAGGGACAGUCGGGGGCAUCAGUAUUCAAUUGUCAGAGGUGAAAUUCUUGGAUUUAUUGAAGACUAACUACUGCGAAAGCAUUUGCCAAGGAUGUUUUCAUUAAUCAGUGAACGAAAGUUAGGGGAUCGAAGACGAUCAGAUACCGUCGUAGUCUUAACCGUAAACUAUGCCGACUAGGGAUCGGGCGAUGUUCUUUUUCUGACUCGCUCGGCACCUUACGAGAAAUCAAA